rnacentral:rRNA from 1 species
CUGGCCUUGACAUCCACGGAACUUACCAGAGAUGGUUUGGUGCCUUCGGGAACCGUGAGACAGGUGCUGCAUGGCUGUCGUCAGCUCGUGUCGUGAGAUGUUGGGUUAAGUCCCGCAACGAGCGCAACCCUUGUCCUUAGUUGCCAGCAUUAAGUUGGGGACUCAUGCGAGACUGCCGGUGACAAACCGGAGGAAGGUGGGGAUGACGUCAAGUCAUCAUGCCCCUUAUGUCCAGGGCUACACACGUAGCUACAUUGGCGUGUACAGAGGGCUGCGAUACCGCGAGGUGGAGCGAAUCCCUUAAAGCACGUCUCGGUUCGGAUUGUAGGCUGAAACCCGCCUACAUGAAGGUGGAGUUGCUAGUAAUCGCGGAUCAGCAUUGCCGCGGUGAAUA